UCGCUGGGUAAACGCCAUUUGUGAUUUGUUGGUAAAUUUUUGUUCAACUAUUGAGUAAACUUUAGGGUUGGUUAAGAUAAAAAAGUUACCAACGUUGAGUAUAGUUUACACAACAAUUGUUGGAUAAACAUUGUCCAAUUAAUUGGUAUUGUUUAUUAGAUUUAUCCAACCACGAAUUGCUGGGUAGAAACAUUCCCGGCAGAUGGGCAUUAUGGCGUGAAAGGGCGUGACGUUAACCAUUUUGUUGUGAACUUUGUUAUCGUGCGCACACGCGCUCAUUACCAAGUCAAGGAAGUUAUAAUGCGACGUCGAUGAUGGCUGACCACCAAGUGUUGAGAUUACUGGAGGAGUGUGGCGUUAGUGUCCCUAACGGACGUUUUCUGAGAUAAUGAGAUCGACAUGCAGGCAAUGAAGGUGCUGACCAAGGCAGAUAAUUUGCAACUUAUUCCCGAAAUCAUCCAUCGACACUCAACGGGAUAUCAUAAUGCCACACUACCUGAAGGAUAGACACAACGCUUCAUCCCCAGCCCUUUGUGCUAUCAUUAGGCAGCGCUGAUCUGGAGUCAAGAAAUGCUUUUCCACAACCAUCAGUCAUGAAAGCAGUAGAUGUGUACUACAAGGCACACUAUGUGCUGGACUGCAAAUACCAAGUUCAGUGCCACGGGUAUGGACUUUUUUUGAAACGUGUGUGUUCAGCCAGCAAGGUGUGCAAUCGAAAGAAACCGCCACACUGAGAGGUCUAAUGGCUUAUCUUGCACAUUAAAACGUGCUGGUAAGUCACUGCAGUAAUGCUGCACCCAUCUAAAAGUAUAAAAGGCUACCUAACAAGUUAUAAUUAUUGUAGUCGGUGUGUGAGAGAAUCACAUUAUAAAACUUUGUU